CUAACCCGAAAACGUAAAACACAAUGUGUAUUUAAGAAACUUAAAAAGCAGGUAUUUAGAAAAAAUAAAUAAACCACUGAAAAAUCAAUAGGAAAAUUCUGUCAUAAUAAUAGAAUAGUUUUUUUUUUACAGAAUUGUCUUUGCUAAUACACUGCUUAAAAGUAUAAUUGUUCAGAAUUUGUAGUUUUACUAGUUUUCUAGCUAAUAAUAAAAAAAACUUAAAUUGUAAUUCUUCAAAAAUGUGUAAGAGUUCAAUAAUCCAAUGUUGUAUUUAGAUACAGUUAUUCAUAUUUGAAUAUUAGGCCUAUUAUGCAUUAUUUUAUGAACAAAUCAAAAUAAGCAUAUAUAACAAAAUUAGCAUCUUAUAAAAUGUUUUAUUAAAAAACGUUUUGCUGAGACUUGAUGCAGUGGCAAUUUUGUGUUGUGAUGACGUCAUCGCGCAAUGACAUCACAACAUCAUUUAGCAGCAAAUCGACCUUCCUUUAUACAAUGUUGCCAACUCAUUCUCAUGGGAAAUUGCUAAAGUUGGGACAACUCUUGGGGUGAUUUUGUUGUCCUGACAAGGGUUUUUAUGUAGGCCUAGUUUCAAGAAAAUAGCUUUUUUUAGUAUUUGAUACUCAAAACGUUCCGUUAACUGGAAAAUAUAUAGUUGCAUUUUGUUAUACUGUGGUUCUCCAUCUAAACAUACAUGUAAAGUCAAAUCUUCUGAGAAUCAGUUACAUCCCUCUCAAUUUUCAAAUGUAAUACAAUUGUAUAAUUUAAUCUCUUAUUCCUGAUAAUUACUCAAAUUCUAAGGGGACCAUAGUUUUUUUUUUUUUUUUUUUUUAUGUAGCUGCCUUCAUCUUUUUGCUCCUAAUAAGCCAAGUCUGUACGCUUUAAGAGUGGAAGAAUCCCAUUUCCAGCGUUUGGCCCCAUUUACUGCUGGCUGCACCUUUCUAGAAGGGAGGAGGAGGGUCUCCAGCCGUCAUCGAGACUGAGCAUCCUGCGCAUCUUUUGGACCCGCUGCUCUGCGAGCAUCAUGCUGGAUGUGUUGCUGUUGAUGUUCUUCGCCAUCAUCGGCCUUGUGUUCCUGUCUUACAUCAUCUACGUCCUCUGAUCCCGGGCCGGUAGCACCGAUGCGCCGCCGUGAGAGCGCGCGCGUGACUCACGGGAGAGAUCUGAGCUCGCAGGAAGAAGCUCUGUUAAUGGGAUCAUCGUGAUGUGAAUUCACUGGAGGAUACACUUACAAGAUGAGACCUCACCCAUAUUUCUGUGUCACACAAACACUGUUCAUAGCAGCUGACACAAAACCUACACCACACUGUUGUUUCAAUCCUUUCAUUUAGCACACGCUGUUCAGAUGUGUUUUUCCCAAAGCAGGCUGAAACAGGAGCACUAAACCCCAAGAUCUAUGGAUGUCUUGCUAUUAUUUUUCUUUUUCUGUUCCUCUGUGUAGUAUUUCUGCAAAUAACGGUUUACAAAUUCCCAGUGCAAUGUACACUACCAUCAAACUCAUGUAUUUUGUCAAAGGAUGUUCAUGAAUGACUGAUUUUCAAAAUAAAGAGCCUUUGUGAGGAUGAAA